AUGCGAGAAACUCUUUUAUUUGGAUUUCAUGCGAUUGCAUGCCUGCAAUUCGCAUUUGCAGUCUUCUAUGAUUAUACAUACGUCGUUAUACCAAAAGGUGUCGGGAGGAAUCAUGGCGCUUAUGGUGGAAAAUUCAAAUUUCUCACCUUCUGGGACGGGAUUGUGCAAUCGGUCUUCUUCUUAAUCUGCAUGCUGAACGAUGUCUAUGGAACGAAUAAAAGCAACCCCAAAAAAACGCCUUUCAUUCGCCGUUUGAAAGACUAUUACCAUGCAACGCUUAGUUUUCCUGUUGCUAUGUUUGUGGGCGUUACAUUCUGGUCACUGAUGUUCGUUGAUCGCGAACUGGUUUUGCCGAAGGCACUGGACCCAUAUUUUCCAGGCUGGUUGAAUCAUUUAAUGCACACAAUGAUUAUGGUGACCACAAUUUUGGAAAUGGUUAUCGCUCCUCGUCAAUAUCCAACACGAGGACAAGGUCUUGCAGGAAAUUUAACAUUUAUGCUCAUCUAUUUAGUCUGGAUGCAGAUAAUCUACAUGAAGAGCGGAAUUUGGGUCUACCCUGUGAUGGAAGUGCUGACUAUACCUUUAAGGAUAGCCUUUAUUACAGUACUUCUUUUCUUCACAAUAAUUCUCUACUUUACCGGAGAGACGUUGAAUCAUCUCAUCUGGGGUAACGAUCAAUUCAAACAGCAAAAAUCUCAUAUGAAAGCCAAGUAGCCUCGCCAGUUGUCACCGUCUGGUGACGUCUGCACGCGUUCUGCCCUCUACGGUGGUGGUAAAAAAAAAUACCUAGCAGAUGUAGAGAUCCCAGUUUCCAAAACGUAGAUGCGACAAACAAGAAGAGGACUACUUCAAAGGUCAAAAAUACUCCCAAAGAACUUCGAGUCCUUGUAAGAAGAAAUUCGGCUCGUCCUUAGCGAAUAAGUAAUUAUUAUAAAAAAUUAGGAUAUGAAUCUCAAGCAUUUUCCGAGAUAUUUUUACGAAUAUCAUUAAGUUUUUGCGACGCAAGACAAUCAAAAAUGAGAUGACAUUUUUUACUCUUUUUAAACAGAAAAAGAUUAUCUACAAUUCCCCUUUCACUGCCUCAUUCUUUGUUUCAUUAACCAAUUAAAUGUUUAAACAAUUUGAAUAAUUUAUACGUUUAACGGUGUAGGCAUUUUUCAAUAAAAU